GUGGGGAAUAUUGGACAAUGGGCGAAAGCCUGAUCCAGCCAUGCCGCGUGUGUGAAGAAGGUCUUCGGAUUGUAAAGCACUUUAAGUUGGGAGGAAGGGCAGUAAGUUAAUACCUUGCUGUUUUGACGUUACCGACAGAAUAAGCACCGGCUAACUUCGUGCCAGCAGCCGCGGUAAUACGAAGGGUGCAAGCGUUAAUCGGAAUUACUGGGCGUAAAGCGCGCGUAGGUGGUUUUGUAAGUUGGAGGUGAAAUCCCCGGGCUCAACCUGGGAACUGCCUCCAAAACUGCAUGACUAGAGUACGGUAGAGGGUAGUGGAAUUUCCUGUGUAGCGGUGAAAUGCGUAGAUAUAGGAAGGAACACCAGUGGCGAAGGCGACUACCUGGACUAAUACUGACACUGAGGUGCGAAAGCGUGGGGAGCAAACAGGAUUAGAUACCCGGGUAGUCC
rnacentral:rRNA from 1 species